UACGUAGGGUGCGAGCGUUGUCCGGAAUUACUGGGCGUAAAGAGCUCGUAGGUGGUUUGUCGCGUUGUACGUGAAAUUCCCUGGCUUAACUGGGGGCGUGCGGGCGAUACGGGCAGACUGGAGUACUGCAGGGGAGACUGGAAUUCCUGGUGUAGCGGUGGAAUGCGCAGAUAUCAGGAGGAACACCGGUGGCGAAGGCGGGUCUCUGGGCAGUAACUGACGCUGAGGAGCGAAAGCGUGGGGAGCGAACAGG
rnacentral:rRNA from 1 species